rnacentral:lncRNA from 1 species
GUAGGUGGGAUAUUGAGAUGACUCUCAAUGUUAGAUAGGCGAACAUCAAUUUCAUGAAAUUGAUCAACCACUUAAUCUUCAUGAGAUUGCUGCCACUCAUAAAUUUGAUCAAAGUAAGUUCUUUGGGCAAGACUUACAUCCUCCAGUUAUCACAAAAGUUCUCAAUCAAAAGCUUUACCCCCUCUUUUCAAAAAAUCAUCUAAAGUUUAUGCUCCCCAUAAAAUAGGUAAAUUAAAAAGGAUUUAAGUCCCUUAAAAGUACUCCCCCUAAAUGUAAUAAUCCCUUUUGAUAAAACAGAAAAAAAAAAUUUAAAAAAGUUUUUUUUUUAUUUACGUUGAUAAUCGGUUAUUACUUUAAAUAAUCGAUUAUUUGUGUUCAAAAUUGUCAAAAUCUAAAUUUUUAGGCUGAGAUAAUCGAUUAUGACCCUUUGGUAAUCGAUUAUUGACGUUAAUUUCCGAAAAACAGAGAUUUGAGCCAAAUUUUCAACCUAAAGCUCAUAUAACAUUCAUAAAAUGUCCAGAUAUCUAACAACCUUAUAUAUCUCUCCCUCAAAUGGGUACCAGGUAUCAUAAUAU